rnacentral:rRNA from 1 species
AUGGACGAGGAGGAUAGCAACGCGCCGAUCUUGCCCUGCAAGAGGAAGAACAAACCGCAAGGGAAAGGCAAGGAUGGCAAGAAGAACAAGACCAAGGAAGAUGCUAAGAUGAGCAAGAAGACUCAGCUUAAAAAGCCGCAGAAAUUGGAGGUUGGGACUCCUUCUGUUGAUAGCAACGUGCUGAUUUUGCCCUGCAAGAGGAAGGACAAAUCGCAAGGGAAAGGCAAGGAUGGCAAGAAGAACAAGACCAAGGAAGAUGCUAAGAUGAGCAAGACUCAGCUGAAAAAGCUGCAGAAAUUGGAGGAGGACAAACAAAAGAAGGCGCUGCAAGCUCAAAGCAUCGAGACUUUGCAGAAGCACAGGAUCGCUGAUGAGGCAUACUCGCUGCUGCACACUUCAGGGUCUAUUGGUCAAGCUGCGACUAUGAAAGAAAAACGUAGGCGUGCCAUGCAAUUAUCCAAGGCUGGUUUAGAUGUCCCUGAAGAACUUUCGCUAUUCAAGAAAAACUCUGAUCAGACAGGAGUUCCAGUUCCUGAAAACACUGAAGCUGCGCCGGAAGCUAGCCCGGUGAAGUUAGUUCAGGCCGCGAAACUCUAUCAUCCUGGUAGUGAACGUAAGAAUCAUGAGAGUGACGCAGUGAAGCCUAACAAUGGUGUUGGUGUGAGCAUUGUGAAUCAGAAAACUGAAGAGACUAAUGAUGAUGCUGACAUUUUGGCACAUCAGAGCAUUCCGAAACAACAAACUGAAAAGACUAAUGAUGAUGAUGACAUUUUGGUACAUCCGACAGUUCAUUCAUCUGUGCCAAGUUGCUCUGGUGUAGAGAUUGAUAUGCAGGAUAAAGAGCCACAACAAGGUGAAGCCGCUGUACAGGAGUGCUUCAAUUCUCCCAUUGUUGUGCAUGUGUCAAGACCACAUGAGGUUGAGAAGGCGAGGAGGGAUCUCCCAAUAAUAAUGAUGGAGCAGGAAAUAAUGGAAGCUAUCUAUGAAAAUUCAGUGGUAAUUCUGUGCGGAGAAACGGGCUGUGGUAAAACUACUCAGGUCCCUCAGUUCUUAUAUGAAGCCGGCUUUGGCACAAGCAAUCGAGCUGAUAGAAAAGGGAUGAUUGGUAUCACCCAGCCACGGCGUGUUGCUGUUCUUGCCACAUCCAAGAGGGUAUCUUAUGAGUUAGGACUUAAGCUAGGAAAGGAGGUUGGUUUUCAAGUUAGACAUGACAAAAAGGUGGGAAAUAAUUGCUCCAUCAAGUUCAUGACAGAUGGCAUUUUGCUACGAGAGGUCCAGAGUGACUUUCUGUUGAAGCACUAUUCGGUGAUCAUCUUGGACGAGGCACAUGAAAGGAGUUUGAACACAGAUAUACUUAUUGGGAUGCUUUCUAGAGUUAUAAAGGCACGCAAGUUUGUGUACGCAGACCAACAGAAACAAAUACGCUCUGGGAUGAAGAUUGACCCGGCAGAUAUGGUUAGUCAGUUGAAAGUGGUCCUGAUGAGUGCUACCUUGCAAUUAAAAGACUUUAUUUCAAACAGAAGAUUGUUUGAUGUGAUUCCACCAGCUGUAGAGGUGCCUACACGACAAUUUCCAGUAACAGUUCACUUCGCAAAGAGGACACAUGAUGAUUAUUUAGCGCAGGCUUAUAAGAAAGUUCUGUCGAUCCACAAGAGUCUACCACCAGGUGGAAUCCUUGUAUUUGUUACUGGACAACGAGAAGUGGAUUAUUUAUGUAAGAAAUUGCAAAGAGCAUCCAAGCGGCAAAUUGGUAAGAAGCCUGAAAUGGUUGGAGAUGAGAAUGGUUCAAGACCAGAAAUAGAAGAGAAGGAAAUUUUUGAAGCAUAUGAUAUUGAUAGAACUGAACCUGAGCACCAAGACGACAUAUUUUCCUCAUAUGGUGAAGAUGAAACGGAUGAUGAGCUAAAUGUCGCUUCUUCUGAUGCUGAAACAGAGAGUGAGAUGGAAACUGACAGUGAUGAGGAGGAUUCUGUUGCACAUGAAACCGCAGAAGAAGAUGGGCCAGUGUUAUCAUUUUUAAAAGGUGCUGAGAGUUCAUCUGUACUGAAUGCAUCCUUUAAAGCUAUAUCAGGACAACCAGAAACUGCUGAGGAAGCGAGCAAUGCUACAAUUGCAGAAAAGUCAGGUCCUUCUGCUUCGCGUGCUAGGCUCCGUGUUUUACCACUUUAUGCAAUGCUACCAGCUUCGCAGCAGCUUAGAGUAUUCCACGAUAUUCCUGAAGGGGAAAGAUUAGUUGUUGUGGCAACUAAUGUUGCAGAAACAUCUUUAACAAUUCCUGGCAUAACAUAUGUGGUCGAUACUGGAAAAGAAAAGGUUAAGAACUAUGACCAUGCUACUGGGAUGGCAAGUUAUGAAGUACAGUGGAUAAGCAAGGCAUCAGCAUCCCAACGUGCUGGGAGAGCUGGAAGAACUGGGCCUGGGCACUGUUACCGUCUUUACUCAGGUGCAGCAUACAGUAAAGAUGACUUAUUUCCUGAAUUCACUGAGCCGGAGAUCAAGAAAAUGCCAGUUGAAGGCAUUGUGCUUAUGCUCAAGUCUAUGAAUAUUGAUAAGGUUGAAAACUUUCCUUUCCCUACGCCUCCUAACAAGGAAAGUUUGGUUGAAGCUCAGCGUUGCUUGAAGAUAUUGGAAGCAGUUGACAACCAAGAAAAACUUACAUCAAUGGGAAAGGCUAUGGCGCAAUACCCAAUGAGCCCACGACAUUCUCGUCUUCUUUUGACAAUAAUUAAAAUGUUGAAGAGUCAGGAAGGAUGUGCUAGAUCUAACCUCAUAUUGGGAUAUGCAACUGCUGCUGCAUCAGCUUUAAGUUAUACCAAUCCUUUUCAAGUUCAGGGCAACACUGAUAGAGAAACAAAUGAAGAUGGCCCUGAUCCAGAACAUAAGGAUCGACAUGAAAGGAAGAGCCAGAAGAAGCUCAAAGCCAUGGUUCGAGAAGCACGGAAAGAUUUUUCCAUCCCUAGCAGUGAUGCUUUAACCAUUUCCCAUGCUUUACGGUCAUUUGAGUGUUCUAAAAGCCGAGUUGAGUUCUGCAGAGACUACUCGCUUCACCUGAAAACAAUGGAAGAGAUGUCAAAAUUGAGAAAGCAGCUUCUUCGAUUAAUAUUUAACUAUAGCAAAUUUUGUGAUGAAUUUGCUUGGAAUUUUGGAGGCUCUCAAGAUGUUGAACAGGCCUGGGGGAGUGAAACCAACAAAAAGCCAAUGCUGAAUGAAGAGGAAAUUCUGGGGCAAGGAAUAUGUGCUGGGUGGGCUGAUAGGGUUGCAAAGAAGAUAAACACUUUCUCUGGAUUGUCAAAAGAGGAUCGAAAGGUUCGAGCUGCACGUUAUCAAUCUUGCGCUCUCAAUGAUAUGAUAUAUCUAAACCGAUCAUCUUCUGUUGCCCAAAUUCCACCAGACUAUGUAGUUUACUCCGAACUACUAAAUACAAAGAGAUCAUACAUGUAUGGUGUGACCAGUGUAAAGCCAGGAUGGCUUUUGAAAUAUGCUAGUUCUCUCUGCACCUUCUCAGCACCGCUGGAGGAUCCAAAGCCCUACUAUGAGCCUCAGAAUGACCAGGUCUACUGCUAUGUCAGUCCCAUCUUUUCUCGACAUAAUUGGCAGCUUCCACUGCACAGUUUACCCAUCAAAGAAGCCACCCGUCGGGUGCAGAUAUUUGCAUGGGCAUUGCUUAAAGGGGAUGUCUUGCCAUGUCUAAGGGUGGUUCAAAAGUUCCUGGCUCUGUCACCAUCUGUUGUCCUGGGGCCUGCCAGCCAAAGAAGAGUUGGAGAUCUUCUUAGCAGGAUGAGUAAAAAGACAAUAUAUAGCCGGGCAGCAUUAAGAGAUGCAUGGAAUACUGACCCAGAUUAUCUUUAUCCCGAGAUUCAGGCGUGGAUCCAGGAUAAAUAUCAGAGCCAGCUUGGAGCAAUAUGGGAACAAAUGCACCAAGAAGUUCGCCUUGAGGGGCGCGAACUUUUCCCGAAGAGGUUCAAGAAAGUUAAAGGGUAA